AUUGAACGCUGGCGGCAGGCCUAACACAUGCAAGUCGAGCGGCAGCGGGAAAGUAGCUUGCUACUUUUGCCGGCGAGCGGCGGACGGGUGAGUAAUGCCUGGGAAAUUGCCCAGUCGAGGGGGAUAACAGUUGGAAACGACUGCUAAUACCGCAUACGCCCUACGGGGGAAAGCAGGGGACCUUCGGGCCUUGCGCGAUUGGAUAUGCCCAGGUGGGAUUAGCUAGUUGGUGAGGUAAUGGCUCACCAAGGCGACGAUCCCUAGCUGGUCUGAGGGGAUGAUCAGCCACACUGGAACUGAGACACGGUCCAGACUCCUACGGGAGGCAGCAGUGGGGAAUAUUGCACAAUGGGGGAAACCCUGAUGCAGCCAUGCCGCGUGUGUGAAGAAGGCCUUCGGGUUGUAAAGCACUUUCAGUGAGGAGGAAAGGUUGAUGCCUAAUACGUAUCAACUGUGACGUUACUCGCAGAAGAAGCACCGGCUAACUCCGUGCCAGCCGCCGCCGUAAGAC
rnacentral:rRNA from 1 species